CUUAGUAUCAUAAGAUUAUUGCACGUGAUAUAAAUAAAAACAUUGAAACAUUUCAUGCUGUGUUUUUUUAUUGUUUUCUCUUGUUCGCAUUUACAAAGAAGGUGAAAACCAAUUUAGGUUUUAUGAAAGAUGCUACAAAUUUUCUACAAGUUCUAUACUGGUGUUCAUAGAAAACAGACUGUGAGUAGCGUAAAUCACAAAAACCCACUUACAAUUCAGAAAUAACUCCCAGUGAAAUAAAAUGUGGGAUACUUUGGAUACUUUGCUAUACAGAACCAUUUCAACAUGUUUCUGUGUGGUUCUUUUCCAUUGAUUACAUAUACAGUUGUUUGUCUGCAGUGUUAAAAAAUGUAAUCAAGUACAACAAAAAAACAACAAACAUUGUUCUUCAAAUGUAUUAACAAAUGUAACAUCAAGUACUGAAAUUAGUUUUUCUAUUGAAAAAAAUUGAAUGCCUAAAAUUGUGUAAUUAGAAAUAGUAAUUGUAUAAAGUGUAAUAAUUUGUUUUCAUGUUGCAGUCAUGGGCCAUAUUCAACAGAAAUUUGGAAGAAGGAGAAAAUAUUGCAGGGUAACUCAGGCUUCUAGUUUUAAGCACUGUUGAAGUACCUACACAUUUUGUAACAAAACUGCACAAUAAUGGGCCAUAAUGGAUUAAGAAGCAAAGUCAUGUUACAAUGGAUAAUUUUUUUUUAGCAUGGUGGAAAUAUUUUACAUGCUAGGCAAUUGUAUUCUAAAUUCCACAUCUGCUUUCAAUUAACAAUAAUCUUGUGUUUAGAAUGUUGAAUCUUUACUAACCUUUACUGUGAAAUAUAAGAUAUUUCUAAGCAGGCACAACAAGUGUCAUUUGCAAAGGUUUUCCAACCAACAUGAAUAAUGGCCCUGAUUUAUUAUUUUUGGAUAAGAUUUUUUAAUUUUUUAAUAUUUUUUAAUACAUUUUACAAUGAUUACAUAUUUUGAAAAAUAUUUUAUUUUUAUUUACUA